CUAUCUAUUCAUAAUGUAACCAGUCACUGAAAAGCCCUGAUAUAGGGAGUGUGCUGUGAAAUAUCUGUAUCUGUAUAUAUUAUAUAUAUAAUUAAUUAAAUUAUAUCUCACCAAAUUCUGAGAAGGAAAUAAAUCAUAGACAACUCUACAAUACUCGACAGAUGCUUCAACCAUACAUGUCCAUAUUGAUUUAUAAAUUGGCAAUCCUUGAGCGCUUGAUUUUGAAUUUCCCUUUGCCUUCGUACUGGCAGUGCCACCGUCAAGGUCGACUGAUACUUUGGAAUAGGAUGAAAAUACCGGCCUGCGGUCUAGAAUCACGGUUGUCUUUUUAAAUACAGUUACAAGCUUACCCGAGUGCAUAGUAGAGCAAAUUAAAAACGUAGAUAUCUUAAUAUGAGCAGCUAAAACGUAAAUUAUUUUUAUUCGAAUUCAUUUUUAAUUUCGUAUUCUGUGAUUCUUGCCACCAUUGAA